rnacentral:rRNA from 1 species
GACCUCAAAUCAGGUAGGACUACCCGCUGAACUUAAGCAUAUCAAUAAGCGGAGGAAAAGAAACUAACAAGGAUUCCCCUAGUAACUGCGAGUGAAGCGGGAAAAGCUCAAAUUUAAAAUCUGGCGGUCUUUGGCCGUCCGAGUUGUAAUCUAGAGAAGUGUUAUCCGCGCUGGACCGUGUACAAGUCUCCUGGAAUGGAGCGUCAUAGAGGGUGAGAAUCCCGUCUUUGACACGGACUACCAGUGCUUUGUGAUACGCUCUCAAAGAGUCGAGUUGUUUGGGAAUGCAGCUCAAAAUGGGUGGUAAAUUCCAUCUAAAGCUAAAUAUUGGCGAGAGACCGAUAGCGAACAAGUACCGUGAGGGAAAGAUGAAAAGAACUUUGGAAAGAGAGUUAAACAGUACGUGAAAUUGCUGAAAGGGAAACGCUUGAAGUCAGUCGCGUUGGCCGGGGAUCAACCUUGCUUUUGCUGGGUGUACUUUCCGGUUGACGGGUCAGCAUCAAUUUUGACCGUUGGAUAAAGUGUAGGGGAAUGUGGCAUCUUCGGAUGUGUUAUAGCCUUUGCUCGUAUACAACGGUUGGGAUUGAGGAACUCAGUACGCCGCAAGGCCGGGAAUUUAUUCCACGUUCGUACUUAGGAUGCUGGCAUAAUGGCUUUAAUCGACCCGUCUUGAAACACGGACCAAGGAGUCUAACAUGCCUGCGAGUGUUUGGGUGGAAAACCCGAGCGCGUAAUGAAAGUGAAAGUUGAGAUCCCUGUCGUGGGGAGCAUCGACGCCCGGACCAGACCUUUUGUGACGGAUCUGCGGUAGAGCAUGUAUGUUGGGACCCGAAAGAUGGUGAACUAUGCCUGAAUAGGGUGAAGCCAGAGGAAACUCUGGUGGAGGCUCGUAGCGAUUCUGACGUGCAAAUCGAUCGUCAAAUUUGGGUAUAGGGGCGAAAGACUAAUCGAACCAUCUAGUAGCUGGUUCCU